rnacentral:rRNA from 1 species
AGCGAACGCUGGCGGCGUACUUAACACAUGCAAGUCGAACGGGGAUCAUCGGGUUAGCAAUAACUCGGUGGUCCUAGUGGCGCACGGGUGAGUAACACGUGGGUAACCUGCCCUGGAGACCGGGAUACCCCCUCGAAAGGGGGGCUAAUACCGGAUACGUUCCCUGGAUCGAGAGGUCUGGGGAGGAAAGGUGGCGAAAGCUGCCGCUCUUGGAGGGGCUCGCGGCCUAUCAGCUAGUUGGCGGGGUAACGGCCCACCAAGGCUGUGACGGGUAGCUGGUCUGAGAGGACGACCAGCCACACGGGGACUGAGACACGGCCCCGACUCCUACGGGAGGCAGCAGUGGGGAAUUUUCCGCAAUGGACGCAAGUCUGACGGAGCGACGCCGCGUGCAGGAUGAAGUCC